rnacentral:lncRNA from 1 species
GAUCUAUAAUAAAAAGGAAGAGAACGAAGGCAUUUCAUCUGCUUGUUUUAACCUCAACCGCUCCCCCUCCCAAGCAAACCAACCUACUUCCCUUUCUUUUUGGCGGGGUGGUGAUAAUACAGCAGGCCGCAGGCAGAAUGGGCGAUAGCCUGGCCCGGGCUUUCUUACUCUGGAACCUACCGGGGCCGGGAUGCAGGGGCGCCGACUGGUCCCCGCUGUCCGCCGGGGAAGCGGAGAGAGCGCAGCAUGCAGUGGGGCAAAAGCGGGGCGGUUAGGUGAGUGGGACCAGAGUUCGUGAGGGGACACAACAGAGUCGAGGAAAAAAGGGGCUCUUCCAAGGUUAUAGCGGCACGAGGGACGUGAAAAGCAGGGCCUCGUGCGCACGCUCGCCCACCGGCCACUCCGUACCGCCAAGUAGCACUGGCCGCGAUCGCCCGCUCGCCAGGACGAAGACGGCGACUCAGGGGCCCAGCCGCGCCCGCGCAUGCGCCGCAGCCCCUCCUCCGCUCCCCUCCCUCUUCCUGGCGGGUCUGGGGCGGCGGCGGCGCGGUGACGUCAGGGCGCUGGGGCAGCUCCUGUGACAGACGGAGCUGGAGCGGCGGGGCGGCGGCGGAGUCCGACGGCCGAGAUAGCGAGUGAGGGAGCGAUUGAACAGCGGCCCGAGGGUCUAGAGAACGAGAAAGGGCAGGAAGGAAGCGCUCGGGCGCGAGCAACAGAAACCGCGAGCGCUGGGCUUGGGCUCGAGCCCCGGAACGGCUGAAGAGCCCGCCCGCUUCCCUCCCCUCCCCCUCCCGAGGACCGGGCCCAGCGCGCCAUCCUCCCCUCCCUCCUUCCCUCCCUCCCUCCUUCCUCCCUUCCCUCUCCCUCCCCCUUCCCCCGCCGGUGGAUGGGAGUGAAGGACGGAAGAGGCCCUGCGGACGCGGCGGUGCAGCGCUCCGGAAACGCAGUACCUGAAUCUAUUUAGCCUAUCCCAGGUGAGAAAAUGCCUUUGAGGUGGUGGGCAAAUUUUGACUCUAAACAUCACAGCAGAGAGGAGGAGGAG